UACGUAGGCAGCAAACGUUGUUCGGAGUUACUGGGCGUAAAGGGUGUGUAGGCGGUUAUUUAAGUUUGGUGUGAAAUCUCCCGGCUCAACCGGGAGGGUGCGCCGAAUACUGAAUGACUUGGAGUGCGGGAGAGGAAAGUGGAAUUCCUGGUGUAGCGGUGAAAUGCGUAGAUAUCAGGAGGAACACCGGUGGUGUAGACGGCUUUCUGGACCGUAACUGACGCUGAGACACGAAAGCGUGGGUAGCAAACAGG
rnacentral:rRNA from 1 species